rnacentral:tRNA from 1 species
GGAGAGGUCGCAUAGCCCGGCCUAGUGCGCGCGCUUGGAAAGCGCGUAGACCGCAAGGUCUCCAGGGUUCGAAUCCCUGCCUCUCCG